UACAGAGGGUGCAAGCGUUAAUCGGAAUUACUGGGCGUAAAGCGUGCGUAGACGGUUGCGUAAGUCAGAUGUGAAAGCCCCGGGCUCAACCUGGGAAUUGCAUUUGAGACUGCGUAGCUAGGGUGCGGAAGAGGGAAGCGGAAUUUCCGGUGUAGCGGUGAAAUGCGUAGAGUAUCGGAAGGAACACCAGUGGCGAAAGCG
rnacentral:rRNA from 1 species